CUGUCCCCGAAGGCAUGAUGAUUAUGUGGCAGGCAGAUGGCCAAUCAGGUAACACCUCCGGCAUCAUAAGUGCAAGCAUUGGUAGCACAGCAUACUUCAGCGCUGAAGUACUACCCGUUUCGCAGGUGAACACAGGAACUUUCGCAGAUGAAUUUCAGCUGAAGUUCGUCUGUCGAGCAUCCCUACCUGGGUCCCAAACAAAUGUCAAUGAACCUGAAGGUGCAAUAUUGGUGUGCACUAUCUCUGGCUUUGUCCCCAUGGACAUGACGAUCACGUGGGAGGAAGGUGGCCAAUCAGAUAACACCUCCGGCAUCAUAAGUGCAAGCACUGGUAACACAGCACACUUCAGCCUUAAACCACUAGGCGAUUCGGAGGGUGACCUCUUCGUCUGUCGAGUAUCCCACCCUGAGUCCCAAACAAAAGUCAAUGAACCUGAAGACAAAGGGAACGGUCUCCAUGAGAACCUCUAUCGCGCCAACCAUAAAGAAAGCAGCCUUCAGCGAGCACAGACAAUCCUCACCGGCAUGGUCAUAGGGCUCAAUGCAAGUGAAGUUUCUGUCCAGUGGGCGAAGAAUGCCCUCCUUGAAGGUCACCAUGUGAACCCCCGAGUCUUGAAGGGCAGCAUCAAGGAUUCCCUCUUGGCCCUCAGCCAGGUGGUAAUCCCCUACUCUGACUGGAACAACGGUACUUCAUACUCCUGUACGUUUACCCGCACAGCAGGCACCGUGGAGCCCACCCAGAGGCCUGAGGAGAAAUCCCAGGGUGAAAAGUGAUGCAAACCCCUUUCUCAGCAUCACAACCUCAGUUUUCCCUCCUCAGCCUAUCCCAGAUUCAAUAAUAUCCAUGUAUCCAUGUUUGGCCUAAGGCUGAAUAAAAGUGA